CAGGCGGGAGAAUCUCACUCACGAGCAGUACGUCUUUUUCUACCUCGACGUGUUUGCUGACAGCCUGAAAUCCGAACACCGCCAGCCGUGGCGCCGCGGGGACCGUGAGGACGCCAUUGCCAAGGAAGCCUUCCAGAGUGUGAAGAUCCUGACGUACGAGAGCCUCAGAACCCCGAGUACCAGGAGUUUGUCCAGAACCUCAAGGCAGACGCCAAGGACAUGUUCAACUACACCAUAGAGGACUCACUGAUGAACAUCAUUGCUGGAGGCUUUUAUGACGGCCUGAUGCUCUACGCUCACGCUU